GCCUCUGUGGUGUAGUCCGGCCAAUCAUGUUGCCCUUUCGAGGCAACGACCCGGGUUCAAAUCCCGGCAGAGGCA
rnacentral:tRNA from 1 species